rnacentral:lncRNA from 1 species
AUUAACAUUAAAAUAUAUUAAAUUAAAAUGCACCACCUGACGACACAUAGCAAAAACAGUAGAGAUAAAUCGUCAGUUGGAAGAUCAAAAGAUUAUGCUAUUGGUCUGUGGUCGUGGUAUGAAUCUACUUCACAUGUUCAAACAUGCAUGGAUUUGUCUGUGUGAAUUCAAGACUUGCCAGACUUUGCACAGGCUGUACCACAGACUAAUUUUUCAGACGAUGAUUCAUUUACACACAACAACAAACAUUCCGGUUUGUCUAUGCAAACACACGCUGCACAGACAAACCAGUGUAAAUGUCUGAGCGUGUAAAGCCGGCCUUAAGGUGACCAUUAUUCUUGGAAAAUCCAGGAAUAAUGGUCACCCUAAGUCAGUGGUUCCCAAUGUGGGGCACACACUUCACAAGGGGGCAAUUUGAUUUUUAAGGAGGGAAAUUCAAGAAUGAGUUAUUAAAAGUGAAUUUUGUG